AUCUAUGGCCAUGCCACCCUGAACAAGCCUGAUUCGUCUGAUCUCGGAAGCUAAGCAGGGUUGGGCAUAGUUAAUACUUAGAUGGGAGACCACCUAGGAAGACCAGGUGCUGAAGGCA
rnacentral:rRNA from 1 species